GGUGAACGCUGGCGGCGUGCCUAAGACAUGCAAGUCGAGCGGGGCAGGUUUAUACCUGUUCAGCGGCGGACGGGUGAGUAACGCGUGGGUGACCUACCCGGAAGAGGCGGACAACCUGGGGAAACCCAGGCUAAUCCGCCAUGUGGUCCUGUCCUGUGGGGCAGGACUAAAGGGUGGAUAGCCCGCUUCCGGAUGGGCCCGCGUCCCAUCAGCUAGUUGGUGGGGUAAAGGCCGACCAAGGCGACGACGGGUAGCCGGUCUGAGAGGAUGGCCGGCCACAGACGCACUGGAAUCCGGGCGGAGCUACUACGGGGGGCAGCUGUUAGGUAGCUUCCACAAUGGACGGAAGACUGAGGGAGCGUCGCCGCGUGGUGGAGGAAGCCCUUCGGUGUGUAAACUCCUGAACUGGGGACGAAAGCCCUGUGUAGGGGGAUGACGGUACCCAGGUAAUAGCGCCGGCCAACUCCGUG
rnacentral:rRNA from 1 species